rnacentral:lncRNA from 1 species
AAGAAGAAAACAUUAACAAAGGUAUAUUAAUCAUUAUCUCAAGUCAAAUCAAGUAUCAACCUUUCCCUUUAAUAAAUAAGAUUUCAUGUCUUCAAAUAAACCCAAGAUCCUAAUUAUGAAAGAUAAUUUAAAAAAAUUUAAAUACAACCCCAAGUUGUAUAUGCUCUAUUUUUGUCCCAACUGUACUGCCAAAAAUGUCUGGCCAUGGUAUUUCAUUAAUACCAUGUGUCAUGAAAGCCUGGUUGCCAGAUUUUUCGUCUUUAUUUGUAACAGUGCUAAAUCAUUCAGUAAUUACAUAACCACCUUCAGUAGUUAUUUGCUAAGGGUAGUGGAGUAAGGUAUCCUAACCCUCUAUUAACCUAUACUUCAAAAACGGUACUUUUGUAAAUUUUUCUUUGUAAGAACAAAAGAAAAACACUCAAGGGGAUUGGGAAAUAAUCAUUUUAAUCUACAUAAGCAUAAUUCACACCCAAAAUGCUUAAACUGUGCCAAAGUUCUGGCCUUCAUAACAUUUCUUAAUUUUAGUUUUCUUGGUGAACUCUGCACUGCCUCAAAAAGUAAAUUAUCCUUUAAUGGGUUCAAUUGGCAUAAACAAUCUAAGUCUGUGAUACCUGUAUCUAAUGAAGUAUAAUAUAUAAUCAACAUCGUAUCACCUAGAAUUGUCAAGCUGUUUAUGAAAGCCUAAAAAAACUCCAAAAGAAUUAAGCUACUUUAGUUAACAUGUAAUAGGUAUUUCUCAUAAAGCAAAGCUUAAAUAUUUAAUUUUUUGAUACUCUAAUGUAUUUCCAUAAGCCUUUAAGUCUACAGUUUUAUAGAUACAGUUUUCCAUCAGAGGUGGAAAAUUAUAGAUAUAUUUCUCUUUACAUGUAACUAAUUAAAGAUUUUAAGAGGGUGUAGGCUACAAAUCAAGUACAAUUUAGUCAUAACACCAUACAAAGACCUUAUAAAAAAAUCAGAAAAGAGAUGGUUAACAUUAUUGCUUGGUCUUAACAGCAAAUUUUAACCAAAUUGAUACCUCUCUACUCUUAUUUAUAAUGUUUCUGAUACAUUUAUAUCAUAGCACUUGGCAAGUAAUAAAGGUACUGAUAUGAUGUUUUAAUUAGUUGCAAACAAAUUCCAAUUUGUGAAUCAAUGUAUAUAUGUCCUCUUUAACUAGUAAAACUACACUACCUCAGAAUUAAUCCUUCUAAAGCAAGUAACCUUCCCGAGAAGGCAAUGCAGAGCUUCAUGUCUUCCUUAAAGAUUUUCAAGUAUUAUAGGAACACAAACUCAUGGAAAAAACUAAUUAAAAAUCGGAUAUUCCAUCUUGGCUUUACUAAUUAUGGGAUAAUAGGAACAGAUGUGAACCAAACAAAUGUUCCUUUAUACCUGUCUGCUAAACAUAAUAUCAUACCAAGAAAUACUGAAACUGCUGUUUUCUAG